AUUAAACGCUGGCGGCAGGCCUAACACAUGCAAGUCGAACGGUAACAGGAAGAAGCUUGCUUCUUUGCUGACGAGUGGCGGACGGGUGAGUAAUGUCUGGGAAACUGCCUGAUGGAGGGGGAUAACUACUGGAAACGGUAGCUAAUACCGCAUAACGUCGCAAGACCAAAGAGGGGGACCUUCGGGCCUCUUGCCAUCGGAUGUGCCCAGAUGGGAUUAGCUAGUAGGUGGGGUAACGGCUCACCUAGGCGACGAUCCCUAGCUGGUCUGAGAGGAUGACAAGCCACACUGGAACUGAGACACGGUCAAGACGCCUACGGGAGGCAGCAGUGGGGAAUAUUGCACAAUGGGCGCAAGCCUGAUGCAGCCAUGCCGCGUGUAUGAAGAAGGCCUUCGGGUUGUAAAGUACUUUCAGCGGGGAGGAAGGGAGUAAAGUUAAUACCUUUGCUCAUUGACGUUACCCGCAGAAGAAGCACCGGCUAACUCCGUG
rnacentral:rRNA from 1 species